UACGUAGGGUGCAAGCGUUAAUCGGAAUUACUGGGCGUAAAGCGUGCGCAGGCGGUUAUGUAAGACAGAUGUGAAAUCCCCGGGCUUAACCUGGGAACUGCAUUUGUGACUGGCGGGCUAGAGUAUGGCAGAGGGGGUAGGAAUUCCACGUGUAGCAGUGAAAUGCGUAGAGAUGUGGAGGAAUACCGAUGGCGAAGGCAGCCCCCCUGGGCCAAUACUGACGCUCAUGCACGAAAGCGUGGGGAGCAAACAGG
rnacentral:rRNA from 1 species